rnacentral:tRNA from 1 species
CUUUGGAUCGCUCAGUGGUCGAGCAUCGGUCUGUUAAACCGACGACGCGGGUUCGACUCCCGCUCCAAAAC